AAAGCUCCUGUUUCACCUGUUCAAUGUCACAAUCACUAUAUAAAGCAUCUCACAAUAUGGACUGUGCCUGUAUACACAAUGCUGUCACCUGCACUUUUUUUUUUUUUUUUUUCUGAAGGCUCUUCUCUGGGCCAUCUGGAAGCAACCCAAAGGUGCUGAAUGUGUGCUUGAUCUAAAAUGGGUGCUCAUGGCUUGAAGAAGUUCUGCUCCUUCUGUCGUUUUGUGGAGCUGGCUGCACGUUGCAGAAUGCUGCUCUGACACACCUAUUAGGGACAGUUGUGGACAACCAGCCCAGCCGCCCUUCCUUUACUCAACACAAAGCCUCCUGUGACGCUUGCUUGCAGAAAACGUGGGGAGAACGCAUUGGUAAUGAAUUUGGUGUACCCAAAGACGCUCCUGCGGCCGCCCCCAGAUGCAGCAGGAGUUUUCAUGCUGUGGCACAAAGCUGCCCCUCCUCAGCCGAGAGCCGGCCGGGGCACGAGCCUGACCCCCAGAAAACAGACAGAUCUCAACGCGCGGUGCACAUUUGGGGUAAUUUACGCGUGUUGACAGCAAAGGGGCAUUUGUGGCCCUGCCCCAUGGGCAAA